rnacentral:tRNA from 1 species
GAGGGUAUAGCUCAAGUGGUAGAGUGCUUGUUUAGCAUGCAUGAGGACCUGAGUUCAAUCCUCAGUACUUCCU